rnacentral:rRNA from 1 species
AUUGAACGCUGGCGGCGGGCCUAACACAUGCAAGUCGAGCGGAUGAAGGGAGCUUGCUCCUGGAUUCAGCGGCGGACGGGUGAGUAAUGCCUAGGAAUCUGCCUGGUAGAGGGGGAUAACGUCCGGAAACGGGCGCUAAUACCGCAUACGUCCUGAGGGAGAAAGUGGGGGAUCUUCGGACCUCACGCUAUCAGAUGAGCCUAGGUCGGAUUAGCUAGUUGGUGGGGUAAAGGCCUACCAAGGCGACGAUCCGUAACUGGUCUGAGAGGAUGAUCAGUCACACUGGAACUGAGACACGGUCCAGACUCCUACGGGAGGCAGCAGUGGGGAAUAUUGGACAAUGGGCGAAAGCCUGAUCCAGCCAUGCCGCGUGUGUGAAGAAGGUCUUCGGAUUGUAAAGCACUUUAAGUUGGGAGGAAGGGCAGUAAGUUAAUCCCUUGCUGUUUUGACGUUACCCACAGAAUAAGCACCGGCUAACUUCGUG